AUGAAUUAUUGGGUGCACAUUUUCAGCUUCCUGCUGAUCAGUGUCACAGUGUCCAAAGGAGAAAUUGUCCUCAUCCAGUCUCCAGCUUACAUGACUGCAUCUAGUGGGGAAAAGGUCAUCAUCACCUGCAGAGCCAGCUCAAGUAUAAACUCCAAUUACUUGCACUGGUACCAGCAAAAGUCAGGAGCCUCCCCCAAACUCUUGAUUUAUAGCACAUCCUACCUGGCUCCUGGAGUCCUAGAUAGAUUCAGUGGCAGUGGAUCUGGGAACUCUUAUUUUCUCACAAUUAGCUGCAUGCAGGAUGAAGAUGCUGCCACUUACUACUGUCAGCAUGGGAGUAGUAGCCCACCCCACAGUGCUACAGACUGGAACAAAAACACUUUACUCUACUAUGGCCCAGCUGCUUCCUCCUAG